UCGGGAAUUUUGGGCAAUGGGCGAAAGCCUGACCCAGCAACGCCGCGUGAGGGAUGAAGUAUUUCGGUAUGUAAACCUCGAAAGAAUGGGAAGAAUAAAUGACGGUACCAUUUAUAAGCUCCGGCUAACUACGUGCCAGCAGCCGCGGUAAUACGUAGGGUGCGAGCGUUAAUCGGAAUUACUGGGCGUAAAGGGUGCGCAGGCGGUCUUGCAAGUCAGAUGUGAAAGCCCCGGGCUUAACCUGGGAAUUGCGUUUGAAACUACAAGGCUAGAGUGCAGCAGAGGGGAGUGGAAUUCCAUGUGUAGCAGUGAGAUGCGUAGAGAUGUGGAAGAACACCUAUGGCGAAGGCAGCUCCCUGGGUUGACACUGACGCUCAUGCACGAAAGCGUGGGGAGCAAACA
rnacentral:rRNA from 1 species